UGUUAAUUUAUGUAAACGAUUGACCCAAAGCAAAACCUUUUCAUGGCCCAUAAAUGAAUAACAAAUCUAUUGUAUUUGGGCUGGAAUUAUUGUAGGCCCAUUUAAAAUAGUAUUGAAAUCGAUCCACGGUUUCGUUUAUUUGUUUAUAUUUAAUAUAUUGAUUCUCUUUUUCUUUCUUUUUUGGACAAAUUAUUGUCGAACGAACAAUAUGUGUCUUAUCGCAGAACAUUUAACGAAAACCUACAAAUCAGAAGAUGAUACGAUCUUUGAAUCAAUGACAAAAAUUGUCGAUAAUCAACCUAUUACGUCUUCGUUUAUCAAAUUUUCAUCUCAGAUUUGGAAUUCUACAGAGAAUCUUGGACAAUGACUGUGAAUAACCCAAACUUGCAUGUAUAAUUAUAAAGAUGAUGAUUUUGCCCAAUGAAGACGAUGUACAAAGAUAAGUUUUCUGUUACGGCUCUAUUCAAACAAAUAAUGUUUUUAAUAUAUAUGAUGCUGAUGAUACAAAGUUCCAUGUUUACAAAGAAGUAAAAAAUUUCGAGUUUUAGUCUUUUAAAGAAGGCAAAUUUGAUGUCGUUUAGAAGCCAUAACAGAAUCUGGAAGCAAUGUUAAAGGUGAAGCAUCAUUUGCAAGUAACAUAAGAAUAUGGAGAAGGGAAGAGAAAUGUUGUCAUUGGACUUAUCCAGAAAUCUAUACGUAAAAAGAUACAAAAUAUCUCGGAGUGCAAUAUUUGGCAUCACAUUGAAUAUUAACCCUCACAAGGAUCGAAUUUUAUAUCAACGUCCGGAUCCGUAUUAGAAGCCCAAGAUCCAUCUGGUAGCUCGACACCCGUUCAUAGGGUCCGCGUGUUUAUCCGGAAAAAUACCCAGGAUCCGCGUUUUUUUUAAUGUGUAAUUGUCGAGUUUAACCUUAAACGAAAUCUUUUUGUUUACUCUUACAAAUUAAAAAUUCUAAUGGCAUUCCUUGUAAUAUUCUACCCUUCAUAAGGUUAUUUUAUAUCUAAUGCUUCCCAAUUAA